UAAUCUUGCUACCUUGCCCUCCAUAAGCCUGGGAUCUUCACUGACACCAGAAUUUUUUUAGUGAUUUAAACAACAUGAACAAAAAAAGCUUCCUAGUCCCUGUUUUGGAGAGCUAGAGGUUGUUUUAUUUUUGUUUUUGGUAUUUAAAGUCUUGUUUGUUAGGCCCACACGUGUGGAGCGUUUCAAACAAUCAAAGGAUGUGGGUUUCAAGAAUAUGAAUUUGGAGUUGGGAUAAGAUGUAGGAGAUAAACUUGGAGAUGUGGAACAACUGUUAGCAUUCUGAGGUUUUACCAUUGUAAAUGGAUAAAUGCUAAUGUUUUUCCAUGUCUAUAAUUUUGAUUCUAUGAUCUAGAAGAUGAAGAAAAAGAAUAUAUAACCAGAUGCUCAAUUCUGUGGCACAGCUCUGAGUAUCACCUUUGAAGAUUAAGGAUGACAAUAAUAAUUCAAGAUUGAUGAUUGAUUUUCUGGUUCCAAAAAUUGUUACUAAUAAUCAAUUAAGAAUCUUCCUUGACUGCUCCAUUUGUGGUGAUCUCUCUAUUGGAGGAAUCAACAGCAAUAUCUGCACUCAUCAUUCGGUACUUACUCAUACAUGGUCUUGUGCGCAUAUGUUUAAAUUUUACCAUUUAAAUUGAGGCUGUGCAUUAUCCUCCA
rnacentral:lncRNA from 1 species